rnacentral:misc_RNA from 1 species
UCUCCGUAGGUGAACCUGCGGAAGGAUCAUUAUCGAACACCAUGACAGGCGCAUAAGUGUGCCGACGCUGUCCGAACAGUCGCGCACGGGCGAGUGUGUCCUCCUGGGUGUUAAUCCAUCUCAACCUCUGUGCAUAACAACGUGGGCACCAACCGGGCUCGUCUCGCUGGGGGGCUCGAGUUUUCCAGCAAACCCCCCCUUCAAAAGUGUAGAAUGACCUCACUUCUGACAACAACGCAACUCUCAACAACGGAUCACUUAGCACUCCCAGCGAUGAAG